rnacentral:rRNA from 1 species
UACGUAGGGUGCGAGCGUUAAUCGGAAUUACUGGGCGUAAAGCGUGCGCAGGCGGUUUUGUAAGCCAGAUGUGAAAUCCCCGGGCUUAACCUGGGAAUUGCAUUUGUGACUGCACGGCUAGAGUGUGUCAGAGGGGGGUAGAAUUCCACGUGUAGCAGUGAAAUGCGUAGAGAUGUGGAGGAAUACCAAUGGCGAAGGCAGCCCCCUGGGUUAACACUGACGCUCAUGCACGAAAGCGUGGGGAGCAAACAGG